rnacentral:lncRNA from 10 species
CCAUUCACACACGAACUCAUUCACACACUAACCCACCGACUCUCACACUAACCCAUUCACACACUAACCCAUUCAUUCACACACUAACUCACCCACUCGUUCACACACCCACUCAUUCACACACUAGCCCACUCAUUCACACACCCAUUCACACACUAACUCACCCACUCAUUCACACACUAACUCCCCCACUCAUUCACAAACUCGCCCACUCGUUCACACACUAACUCACCCACUCAUUCACACACUAACCCAUUCAUUCACACAGUCACCCACUCAUUCACAC